rnacentral:snRNA from 1 species
ACACUUACCUGGCAGGGGAGAUACCAUGAUCACUAAGGUGGUUAUCCCAGGGUGAGGCUUAUCCAUUGCAUUCCAGAUGUGCUGACUCCUGCAAUUUCCUGGAAUGUAGGAAAAUCUGCUGCAUAAUUUGUGGUAGUAGGGGACUGCGUUUGUGCUCUACCCUG